UUCAACUCUUCACUUUCCAAAAAGCUACUAGCAAGUAACAAAAUGUUGUCUCCCAUCCUCUGCUAAGAAACAAAUCUGCAAGGGAAGCCUAAAUUAACGAUUCCAAACGUCAACCCAACAACGGAUCGGAUCUCCGUCGAUCAUCAUCAGCAAACUUCUUCAAUCAAACAAGUAAAUUAUCCCACCAAGUAGUGUUUCCGGGCAAAAAUCGACAUUCCUGGGCAAUUUGGUGGGCAAGUUGAUUCCUUAUUCUUAGAAUAAACUUAAAUUUACAAUUAUCCAACGAUUUUGCUAUUUGUUUCCCCUCAACAAUAACUGAUCUAUGGACUGACCUAUCGUAUGUUGUGGCUUUCAUUCUUUUGAUGACGGUUUUUGAGUCUCCUUCAACCUCGAGACUGCGAACUCCAACAAGAUAGAAAGAGUUAUCACAUGCUUGCAUACAAUGGCUUCUGCAAAAAAUAGGUCAGUAAUGUUAGAAUUUCUUAUCACUCUGGCCUUUAUUACAACCCCAUCUUCUUUUAUCACAACUAUGCCUAAAAUUGAAUGUUGGCUACAGAAUCGUAAGACGCGUCAAAUUUAGCACGAACCCAUGACCUCUCUAAUAGUUUCCAAAUAGUCAGUUGUUGGUCGUCAUUCCUAGCUCCAACAGUGUUAUGAAUUUUAAAUUCCUCUUAAAAAUGCCUAAUCUAUGUGACCACAUCAGGAGUAUUCUGAGCAACUUUAUCAUGAACCAAUUUGUUUCUAGAAAACCAAAUAGCUCAGAUUGUAAUAAGUGUUAGCUAACGAUUCAAACUAUUCAUGAUUUUGAACAAACUUAUAAACCAAGACUUAAAGUUUUCAUUGUCUCUCAUUGCAGGUCUAUUCAACCCUCAAAGCAUCCUAUAUUUAAUUACCCCUGGGACAGUCACAAAUAAUAGGCCUGUUUGUUUCAACACCGGCCUCACAUCACAAGCAAAUUGUUGUGUCCCUGAGCCUUUUAAUCCACAAAUUAUGAUAGCUAGGAAUAUAGUUGUUAAAAAUCUCCAGUUUAUAAUCUUUACUUUUGAAGGAACUGUAGUGUCCCAUAAGGCUUUAUAGAUAGGUCUAUUAAGAUUGUUACUUCCGAAGCGAAGUUUCUAUAAUUCUUUGUAACCACUUCGAACUAAGUACUCCCUUGUUGGCUCACCUGACCAUGUCAUCCGUCUCUUCAAUUUCAGUUCAAGGAAUUGAGAUGUUGAUGAUAUGCAAGGCAUCAGCAUCACAAAAAAUCUCCCUAAUUAGAGGUACAUUCUAUUGCUUUGUAUCUUGCACAAAGAGAUCAUUUACCAGCAUAAUGUCCUAAUUAAGACAAGGAGUACUAACCAUAUUAUGACCUUCUCCAGAUAGCUAAUUAUCUUCCCAGAUCUGAAUUUGGCUACCAUUACCAAUCUGCCAUUUUGUCCCACUUUUCAACAACCCUCUCGUGGUACAAAUACUAUGCCAAGGUAGUGAAGGGUAAUGACCCAAUCUAGCUUCCAUAAAAGUGGUGUUAGGAUAAUACUUGGCCUUUAAAACAUAUGAAAGUAAUAAACCCUGAUUAGCAAAUAAUCGUCAGCCCCAACGAUCUAGUAAAGCAAUAUUGAACUGACUCAAGCUUCUAAAUCCCAAACCCCUAUUUUUCUUAAGGUCACAAAGGGUAUCCCAAGAACACCAAUGAAUGUCCCUUUCACCAUGUCCUUUUUGCCCCCAAUAUUUUCUAAUAAUAGCUCCCAUCUCCUUACAAAAGGAAUUAGGUAGCAAGAAACAACCAUAGUAUAUGUGAAAAUUACUUUUAAAAUAGACUUAAUAAAAAUUUCUUUCUCAUCCUGUGAUAAUAAGCGAGUACUCUAGUUAUUAAUCCUUAAACGCAAUUGAUCUUUGAGCUUCUAAAACAUCAAUUUCUAAUCACAUCCCACCAUAGUUGGUAAACCCAGAUAGAGCUCAAGAUUACUUGUUACCCUUAUAUCCAAAAUAUUAGUAAUAUGGCCCUACAUAGAAUCCCCAACGUUGCCACUAAAAUAUAUGAGAUAUUUUUCAAAUUUUAACAAUUAUCCAGAAGCCAUCUCGUACUCUUUAAUAAUAGCCUACAUUCUGUAGCUUCCUCAAAGAGGAUGCUAUUGUUGGCAAACAAUAAAUGAGAGAUGCAAGGCCCUCCUCUACAAACAGAGUUACCUGUCAAUACUCCUUCAUUACAAGCCAAUCGCAAUGCAGUCGAUAACCCCUCACUACAAAUAAGAAAAAGGUAGGGGUUAAGAGGGUCUCCCUACCAUAAACCACAAGUUGGUUUUAUCAGAUCUCUGAACCACCCAUUCAUAGCAACAGAAUAUAUAACAGUCAAAACGCAAUACAUGAUGAGAUCUACCCAAUUCUUUCCAAACCCCAUCGCUCUCAUCAUAUCUAUCACAAAAUGUCAUUCGAUUCCAUCGUAUGCUUUGCUCAUAUGGAGCUUUAAAGAAAAAAAAGCCUUUCUUUCUAGCCUAUUUUUGUUUUAGUGCAUGAAGCAUCUCAUAAGCUAUCAAAACAUUAUCAGUAAUCAUCUACCUUAGAAUAAAAGCACUUUGUGCUUCAUUAAUGCACGCACUCAAGACCGUUUGGAACUUAUUAACAAUCAUUUUGGCCACAAUCUUAUAUAAAAUAUUACAUGAGCUUAUCGAUCUAAAAUGUGACAUGUUUCGAGAGUUCUUUAUCUUGGGAAUAAAAACUAUAGUCGUACUAUUAACACAAUCAAUACUAAUAUCCUUUCUCAAAACCCCAAGGCAAAAAUCCACCGCAUCAAAACCAACUAUGUGCCAGUAACUUUGAUAAAAUAGCACAGGCAAACCAUCCAGACCACACGUCUGCGAAGGUGCAUGCUUUUAACAGUAAGUAAAACAUCAUCGACACAGAACUCCACGCAUAAAGUCCAAUUCAUAUUAGAAUUAAUACACCUACUAACACCUGAAAGAAUGUGAGAUGCAUCCAUCCUCCCUUUACUAGUAAACAACCUUUCGAAGUAAGUAAAAGCCAAGGAAUCCAUUUCCAUAGUAUCCAUGGUAAAACCACUACUAGAAUUCUCAAGACCCAUUGUAUUUGUCUUCCUCCAUUGUGAAGCAAAAUUGUGAAAAUAGCUGGUGUUUUUAUCCCCAUACUUCAACCAGUUCACAUGGGCCCUUUGUUCUUAGAUCCUUUUCUCUUUGUUCGUUUCCAAAUUAAUGGCUAAUUUAGUUUCCAUAAUAUCACCUAAAACAUCAUUUUCAGGCUCUAGCUCCAUGAGAUUCUCAAGUUUUUGCUGCAAAGCAUCAAACCAACCAUGUUUUGCUUUUCUUACCUUAGCAUACCAUUUUUUCAAAUGAUUCCCCAACAUUUUCAGACGGUACAGAAGUAACCACUGACUAGCUUUCCAACAAUGUUUAAUCUCAGAUUCACAGUUAUCCUCCAAUAGCCAAGCAGCCUCAAAUCUAAAUCAAUCAAUUUUUCGUCGUCUCAUCAUUAAAACUUUGGUUUGAAUCAUAAUCGGAGAAUGAUCCGAAAUGUUACUCGUAAUAUGUUGUACAUCAUGAUCAGGAAACAUAUGCCACCAACACGGAUUAGCAACCGCUCUCUAUCCAACAGCUCCCGAAUAUUGGUUUCAGAACUUUGCCCUCUUUCCCAUGUAAACUAGGGUCAUUUGAAGCCCAGAUUAGCUAACGAGCAGUCAUCCAAAUCCUGACGAAUUACUCCCGAAUAUUGGUUUCAGAGCUCUACCCUCUUUCCCAUAUAUACUAGGGUCAUUUGAAGCCCAGAUUAGCUAACGAGCAGUCAUCCAAAGCCUGACGAAAUUCUUCUAUUUUACAAUCCCUUCUAGCUCUACCACCUAUUUUUUCAAAAGAAUAAGUGAUUUCAUUUUAAAUUCCCCCAUAACCAUCCAUGCACUGACAUUAUUUUUCCCAAGUUGUCUUAGUAAAUUUCAGGACUCUCUCCUAAACCUUUCAUCUAGAGCUCUAUAAAACCCGGUAAGCCUCAAUUUUUUUACCAUUUCCAUCAUUAGUAAUGUUCACUUUGAUAAAAUGAGAAUGAAAUUCCUCAGUGUUAAUAGAAAAACCACUUUUCCAUCCUAAUGAUAACCCUCCCCUCAGUCCUUCAGUGUCAACAUCAACUCCCUUGUUAAAACCGUAUCUACAUCUAAUAUGUUUCAUAUUUACAUCCAACACUUUAGUCUCAAUUAGGAAACUAAUUUUGGUGUUAUUUUUUUAGCCAAUGCUGAAGUCUAUUAAUAGUCUGUGGUUUCCCCAGCCCAUGAACGUUCUAACUUAAGAUAUUUAUUGGGCCCGACUGACCCAUUUAACAAGCAAUAGUCAACCCAUGUGUGGUCUUAUCAAAAUCCAUAAAGUCAGAAACUUUAGAAGACAUUAAUUUCACCCGCACCUUCUUUUUUCCUUUGUUGAUUCUCAUGCUACAAUCCUCAGAUUCACAAUCAAUCAAUUUGCCCCCAUUUAUGCCCAAUCCAUUCGCACUUCCCAUGUUUAGACCCAGAUUGAUGCUGAUUUGAUUAACAAAUUGAUCCUCCAGAUCUAGCUCAUUAGAGAACUCAUUUCCUAAAUUGGAGGAAACAAAAUUCGUGCCCUUAAUUUCUAUAUCUUCCCGGAGCCACCUACUAUGAUUUGAUACCACCCUUCUAGACAACACUCGGAUGGAAGCAUCCUAUCCCAUAACCACUUCUGAUUCGUCAUUAUGAAUACGUUUCAAGCAAAAACUAUCGAUGUGUCCAAAUUUCCCACACAAAAAAUAAAAAAGAGAGAGUUUUUCAUAUUUGAAUGUAGCAUAAAUAGAAUUUUGUGCACCUAAUAACAAUUUCUUUCGUCGAUGCAAUGGUUGUUGGAUAUCAAUCCAAACCCGAAUUCUCAUAUGAUUUUGAAAGUUCCUUGUGGUUGCCUUCAUAUCAUACUCAAUAAACUGGCUAAUAAAAUUACCAAAUUGUUUAGCCAAAACUUCAGACAUCAACCCAUUCGAUAUAUUAUGUAUUCAUACCUAGAAAUCUACGUAAAGCAAUAGGAUUGAUUUGGGAUCUUCACCUUCCUUCAGUCUAUGGAAAACCAAAAGAUGGCUAUUAAAAGUCUAAGGGUCACCGUGUUCAAUCCUAUUAAUAUCCACAUCAUACAGAAAGUGAAAGAGGAAUCGUUUAUCACUUAAAUCAAAAAUCGCCACGCCACUAAUGGGGUGCCAAACAUUUGCUAUCAUAUUCCUCAUAGCUUGAAAGUUAACAAUACUAGAUGUAAAAAAACUUCCCACCAAACAAAGCUUGUAAGAGGCUAGUCCGUAUCCACUAUCUCCUCUAAUAACAUCCCACCCUUCUUCCUCCCUAUCCUCCAAAGAUAACCUGGUUAAAUAUGCAUCCAUUAAUAGGCCAACUUUAACUAGAAUUGAAUUCUCAAAAACAAAAAAGAAGAAGAAAAAGACAGAAAACACCGCGUGCCACAAAGAGCAGAGGUCCAAUUAACUAUUGGUAUUUUAAAUAAAUGUGUACUCUUCUAAUUUAUACAAGCCUAUUUUUACUUAAAUUCUCUUUAUAUUUUUUCAAAUACGUUGCUAUUAUUUAAAAAAAUUCGAGUUAGAGUUUUAUGAAAACAUUAUUAGAAAAAUUUUAUGUUCGUUUAAAGAUUAACAUAGUUCAAUUCUCGAUUUAAUCAGAUUUAAUGUGAUUAUCAACCAUUAAAAAGUAUAAAAAAAAUCAAUAAUUCAGUCAUGUUUUUCUUUUUAAAAAAAUCUUUCUAGCUUUUGGGGAUUAAAACUCUUCAAACAUUAGGCGUGCAUGAAGCUUGAGGCGACCAUUGAGCUGAGAUGGCGAAUCUGUG
rnacentral:lncRNA from 1 species